GAGUCACUUGUGAAAAGCUCUGAGGGCAUGCAGGGCACUGAAAUGGCCUCUCGCCUGUGUGGGUGCGCAGGUGUUCGUUCAGACUACUCUUUUGUGAGAAGCUCUGGGGGCAUGAGGGGCAGUGAUGAGGCAUAUUGCCUGUGUGGGUGUGCAAGUGUCGGUUUAAGGUACUCUUUUGUGAGAAGCUCCGAGAGCAUGAAGGGCACUGAUAUGGCCUGUCACCUGUGUGGGUGCGCAGGUGGUUCUUCAGUGCAGAUUGGUCUGAGAAGCUUUGAGAGCAUGAAGUGCACUGAAAUGGCCUCUCGCCUGUGUGGGUGCGCAGGUG